UACGGGGGGGGCAAGCGUUGUUCGGAAUUACUGGGCGUAAAGGGCGCGUAGGCGGCCUUCUAAGUCAGACGUGAAAGCCCUCGGCUCAACCGAGGAAUUGCGCUCUAAACUGUCGUGCUUGAGGAACCUAGAGGUGAGCAGAACAGAUGGUGGAGCGGUGAAAUGCGUUGAUAUCAUCUGGAAUACCGGAGGCGAAGGCGGCUCACUGGGGGUUUUCUGACGCUGAGGAACGAAAGCCAGGGUAGCGAACGGG
rnacentral:rRNA from 1 species